CGUAGGGCGCAAGCGUUGUCCGGAAUUAUUGGGCGUAAAGAGCUCGUAGGUGGCUUGUCACGUCGGGUGUGAAAGCUUGGGGCUUAACUCCAGGUCUGCAUUCGAUACGGGCUGGCUAGAGGUAGGUAGGGGAGAACGGAAUUCCUGGUGUAGCGGUGAAAUGCGCAGAUAUCAGGAGGAACACCGGUGGCGAAGGCGGUUCUCUGGGCCUUACCUGACGCUGAGGAGCGAAAGCGUGGGGAGCGAACAGG
rnacentral:rRNA from 1 species